GCCUGGGCCGCAAGGGAGUCAACCGUGGCUGCAGGAGACAGAUAAGGUUGGGGGAGAAAGACUCCUAGUCACAGAGCAGCUGACGGGGGAGCGUGGGGAUUAGGGCUCCAAGGGCUUGUCUUAUGAGUGGAAACCCAGAAAGAGGAAAGCUGGAGGAAAGAAGAGAAAGCCCCUAUUUAAGGGAACCCUUCUGCCCUUGGGAAGGAUAAGAAAGCCGUCCUUCCCCGCCUGCGGCCACUGGCCCCAUCAUUCAGCCUAGAGGACUAGAAGCAGGUACUAUCUAAAGCAAGCCCAAGUGGCUGGACCCAAGCAGGCUUCAGAGGAGUAGGACAGUGUGGAAGAGUCCUCGUGUGGAAGGAUGUCUCCCAGCCAAAGAAAAGCCAUAUCUGUGGCCGUCCUGACAGGCCUAGCAAUCCAUUCUAGCCACUGAAACUGUCCCUGCCCCAUGGGGCUUAGCAACCCUUGUGAAUUUGUGUCCUAUCUGGCUGUGUCCUACAGGCCCCCAGUCACACUCCUCAGCAGCCUGUGUCAGCCUGGUGCCUGUGGUUCUUACCUGUCACAGGUUUCUAGGAACUGAGAAAGGAGCCCGCCACUACAGUGUCUUCCCUGAGGGAGUCCAGCCAAUGAGAGUCAGGAAGAGCUGCCCGCAUCAAGAGAUAGGACCUGUUGGCUGAGUGUCUGGCUCCUGAGAACAGCUGAUGGAGAUAAAUGGCCCUUGUCCCAGGAACCUUUCAGAAAGCUAUAAAAAGUGACUUGACCGGGAUCGGAGAUGGCCUGUCCUGCCUGUACUCUAUUGAGCUCCCUUGACACUGAGGGCAACACCCUGCAUAUCCUGGUGAUGGAGACAAAAGGCAAGAAUGGGACCAAGAAGAGAAGAGGUGGGAAGAGCCACUGGGAGGAGGGUGCGGCCCCGCCAGGCCCUUCCUCUUACCAUCCCUUCUUCCUCACAAGUUUGUCAUCCCAUCCUCUGAAGGAUCUAGAGGGAGCUCCACAGACCCCAGCCAGCACCUGACUGAUAGCCACUUGUAUCAUUACAGUAUUGUGCGUGAUUGUUUUUUUCUUUGUUGUUGUUGUUGUUGUUGUUGUUGCUGUGACCAAAGACCCAACAAGAGUAACUUAAAAGUGCCUUUGGCGCAUGGGUUUAAGGAUACGGGCCAUCAUGAUGUGGCGGCAGAAUGGCAUGGAUGGUCGCAUUAUAUUUGCAGCCAGGAGGCAGAUGAAUGUUGUCUUCUGCCUGCUUUCUCCUCUGUAUCGGGUUCAGGCCCCAGCCCAGGGAAUGGCGUCACCUACCUUGGGGACAAUCUCUCUUAUCUCCAAGGAGACGCUGUCUGGAGUAUCACAGACACCCCAGAGGCUUCCCUCCCAGGGGAUUCUACAUCUCCUCAAGCUGACAAUGAAGAUGAAUUAUCCUGAGCCAGGAGACUGCUCAGUCUGAAAAACACCUGUCACACAAACGCAAGGAUCUGAGUUCGGAUCCCCAGCACCCACACAAAAAGCCUGGCCCAGUGGCGGGUGUUUGUGACUCUCCGCAGAGAGCAUGGGAAGAGCUGGAUGCCUGAAGCUCACAGGUCAGCCACCACACUGAACUGAUAAGCUUGAGGUUUAGCGAGAGAGCCUAUCUCAAAAAAGAAGGUGGCCUUAGACACUGUUGUGUUGCUAUGAAAAGACAGCAUGGUCACAGCAACGCUAAAAAAAAAAAAAACACUUAAUUAAAUGCGGAUGGUUUAUGGUUUCAGAAGUUCAGUCUAUUAUCCUCAUGGUGGGACACAUGACAGCACGCAGGCAGACAUGGAAGGCAAGACUUCUAUAUCCAGUCCCAGUGGCAACAGGAAGAGAGAGAAAGUACCAGGUCUGGACCCAUGAAAACCCCAAAGUCCACCCCCAGUAACAUACUUCCUCCAACAAGGUCACACCUCCUGAUUCACACCAUAAUGAACAAACAUUUAGAUAUAGGAGUCAAUGAGGGGUCUUUCCUAUUCAAGCCACUACAAAGCUCUUUUCAUUCUGGUCUCUCCAGGCACAGUCCUGCUGCAGCCUGCCCUGGAGCUCCCCUCCCCCACCCUGCCUCCAUUCUCUGAGAACUCCACCUUUUGGUGCAGACCCAGGAUCCUCUGGUCUUUCAGCCUUCCCUUCUAGCCAUUUGCAUUCUUUGUGACAGUCAACCCUCAGAAACGCUCUAUCAGGGACCCCAGUGGGUCCCCUGCGUUGAAUGCAGAUCAGAGCCCUCCUCAGCCCACACUACAGAAGCUUCUUACCUAGGUGGGAACUCACACAGGGAACCACACCUGGACCGCAUGCAGAGAGGGAGAGACCUUGGAGCGCUCUAUCCUAAAUGCGAUGGGGUGUCUCCAGCCAAGCCCCCCUUCCCCUCAAGCCUUAGGGAAUCUAUUCAGAAUAGGAGUAAGAAAGAUGCAAAAGCCAGGGGUAGCUCCUAGCUCCAAUGAAACUUCAGAGCUGAUGCACCUAAGGCUGUGGCAGGAUGCAGCAGGCAGACCUGCUCGCUCAGGUCCCAGCUAGACGUGCCCAGCACUGAGAGCAGUGGGCACUGUAUCCCAUGCCUGCUCAGAGAAGCUCCCCACAGCUGAUACCCACCGGCAAAGAUAAAAUCACUUUUCUCCAAUGAGUGGCACCAGUAUAUCAACCAUGCCUGACGGCAGACCCCAUGCCCAAAAGUCCUUGACCAACACCAGACCAACUCAGUGGCAUUUCUGUGGACUGGUUUGUUUUGUUUUGACAUUUUCUGUCUUUUUGGUUUUUUGCAUCUUUGUUUUGAUUUUUA